UAAAACAGAGAAUAUCGCCUUAGUGUGUUGUAACGACUAACAAGAAUGACGAAAACAUUAAAAGUUAUGUCGUCGUAAUAGCAUUAAUUUUUAUGCUGGACCCUUUGGUGAAUGAUUAAGCUAAAACCUCAAGCCUCUCCCGCAUCGAAUCCUGUGAACUACCAGCUUCACCAUUACCGGCACCGCCGGAAGGCCCCGCAAAAGCCACCUUCUUUCCGAUAUCAGCAGCCGAGAUGGCUCAUCACCAGCCAUACGAUCCCUACUACCUCCACCACCAACCACAGGCACAACAAGUAGACUUCAACGAUGACCGGAGCAGAAUCAACACGCUCUUCGUGUCGGGGCUCCCCGACGACGUAAAGGCGCGUGAGAUUCACAAUCUAUUCCGCCGCCGCCCUGGUUUUGACUCUUGCCAGCUGAAGUACACCGGCCGCGGAAACCAGGUCGUGGCAUUUGCCACCUUCUUCAAUCAUCAAUCAGCAAUUGCAGCACUGCACGCUUUAAAUGGUGUAAAAUUUGAUCCUCAAACUGGAUCUGUUCUUCAUAUUGAGCUUGCAAGAUCAAACUCCAGGAGAAAACGUAAACCAGGUAGUGGAGCCUAUGUUGUUAUAGAUAAAAGAACUAAGUCUGACACAAAUGCCCAAGAAACAUCUGGCGACGAUGGAGACAGUGAAUCUGAUGAACCGUCAGGGACUGAGAAUCCUGAAUCUGGCGAGAAUGAUGAUUUAGUGACCUCAAAAAGCGGCGAGACGGCUGGUGGUCCUGACAAUGUUGUGGCUUCGGAGCAGGCAGAGAAGCCUGUCGAUGGAGGACCAUGUUCCACUCUAUUUAUUGCAAAUCUGGGACCGAACUGCACUGAAGAUGAACUGAAGCAAGCACUAUCUCAGUAUCCAGGAUUCAAUAUGCUCAUUUUGCGUGCUAAAAGUGGAAUGCCAGUUGCAUUUGCAGACUUUGAGGUAUCCCGAAAUUGAACACGCAAAUAAAGUAAUGGAGGAACUUCAGGGGAGCUUGUUACCAUCAUCGGAUAGGGGUGGCAUGCAUAUAGAGUAUGCAAGGUCUAAAAUGAGGAAACGGUAGGGGAGAAAUGUCGUCAAAAGCGUCUAUGCCAUGAAGUCAAUUUUCGAUGUAUAAGAAAAGGGUCGGAGGUGACUUUGCAGAACUUUUUAUUUCGAUCAUACAUUAUAAUUGCAUGUUACUAGUACGCUGGAUUUUGAAACCCAACGGUGUAAAGCUCUAGGAAAUUGCUGCGUCUGAAAUUGUAGCAAAGGUUGAAGUUUGACUAGAACUGAGAUCAUCCUGUUAAUUGCCAACGUUCUCCUAUUUAGUUUGUGAAAGAUGGAGCGCUUUUUUGCGGCGGCUUCCGCUUGCACAAGAUCUUUA